GGCGUUAAGUUGCAGGGUAUAGACCCGAAACCCGGUGAUCUAGCCAUGGGCAGGUUGAAGGUUGGGUAACACUAACUGGAGGACCGAACCGACUAAUGUUGAAAAAUUAGCGGAUGACCUGUGGCUGGGGGUGAAAGGCCAAUCAAACCGGGAGAUAGCUGGUUCUCCCCGAAAGCUAUUUAGGUAGCGCCUCGUGAACUCAUCUCCGGGGGUAGAGCACUGUUUCGGCUAGGGGGCCAUCCCGGCUUACCAACCCGAUGCAAACUGCGAAUACCGGAGAAUGUUAUCACGGGAGACACACGGCGGGUGCUAACGUCCGUCGUGAAGAGGGAAACAACCCAGACCGCCAGCUAAGGUCCCAAAGUCAUGGUUAAGUGGGAAACGAUGUGGGAAGGCCCAGACAGCCAGGAUGUUGGCUUAGAAGCAGCCAUCAUUUAAAGAAAGCGUAAUAGCUCACUGGUCGAGUCGGCCUGCGCGGAAGAUGUAACGGGGCUAAACCAUGCACCGAAGCUGCGGCAGCGACAUUUAGGUGUUGUUGGGUAGGGGAGCGUUCUGUAAGCCUGUGAAGGUGGCCUGUGAGGGUUGCUGGAGGUAUCAGAAGUGCGAAUGCUGACAUAAGUAACGAUAAAGCGGGUGAAAAGCCCGCUCGCCGGAAGACCAAGGGUUCCUGUCCAACGUUAAUCGGGGCAGGGUGAGUCGACCCCUAAGGCGAGGCCGA
rnacentral:rRNA from 4 species